rnacentral:rRNA from 1 species
CAGUCGCCGCGGGAAUACAGAGGGUGCAAGCGUUAAUCGGAAUUACUGGGCGUAAAGCGCGCGUAGGUGGUUUGUUAAGUUGGAUGUGAAAUCCCCGGGCUCAACCUGGGAACUGCAUCCAAAACUGGCAAGCUAUAGUAUGGUAGAGGGUGGUGGAAUUUCCUGUGUAGCGGUGAAAUGCGUAGAUAUAGGAAGGAACACCAGUGGCGAAGGCGACCACCUGGACUGAUACUGACACUGAGGUGCGAAAGCGUGGGGAGCAAACAGGAUUAGAUACCCCCGUAGUCCCUGUCUCUUAUAA